rnacentral:lncRNA from 1 species
AUCAUUACUGAAUGACUGACCCAUUGAUAUAGCAGUAUUAUUGUCCUUGAAUGAGUGACUCGUUGAUAUAGUGCUAUCAUCCUCUCUGCUAAAACUUUGACUCAGCAUAGUAAUAUUGCUUUCAUCUUUACAGAAAGGGUGACUCACUGAUAGUGAGUUGCUCUCCACUUUGUUAAGAGGUUGACCCAUAGAUAUGAAGUUGUUAUCCUCCCUAUUAAAGGUGUCACCUAAUGACAUCAU